CGCUGGAACACUGGUACUUGUACGAUCACCGAAGUUAAGCAACCUCGAACUUGGUCAGUACCAAGAUGGGUGACCGCUUGGGAAUAUUAGGUGUUGUAAU